rnacentral:rRNA from 1 species
GAUAAACGCUGGCGGCGUGCAUAACACAUGCAAGUCGAACGAUGAAGAUUAAAAGAUUUCUUCGGAAUGAACUUAAUUGGAUUAGUGGCGGACGGGUGAGUAACGCGUGAGUAACCUGCCUUGUACAAGGGGAUAGCCGUUGGAAACGACGAAUAAUACCCUAUGACAUCAAAUAAUCGCAUGAUAAUUUGUUCAAAGAUGUAUCGGUAUAAGGUGGACUCCCGUCUGAUUAGCUAGUUGGUAGAGUAAAAGCCUACCAAGGCAACGAUCAGUAGCCGGCAUGGGGGCGUGUUCGAGACCAUUAGGACUGAGACACGGCCCAAACUCCUACGAAAGGCAGCAGGGGUGACGUUGGAACAAUGCGGGAAUCCUGAAGGCAGCGACGCCGCGUGAUUUAGAAGGCAUGCAGGUUGUAAAAAGCUUUUAUAUGGGAAGAAAAUGACGGUACCAUACGAGAAAGGACCGGCUAAUUACGUG